rnacentral:misc_RNA from 1 species
AACCAUAGAAACCUGCGGAGUACCUGCGGAAGGAUCAUUAUAGUAUAUGGAAUCUCCAUUCUAUAAACCCACUCUGCGUAUCUUGUAACUGUUGCUCCCAUGGGACUUGGUUCCGCCACACCGGCUUCACGGCUGGUGAGCGCCCAUGGAAGGAGAAACAAAACUCUUCUUUGAAAUGUAGUCAGUCUGAACAAGUUUUUAUAAACGUUAAAACUUUUAGCAAUGGAUCUCAGAUCGGAA